UACGUAGGGGGCUAGCGUUGUCCGGAAUCAUUGGGCGUAAAGAGCGUGUAGGCGGUCCGGUAAGUCCGCUGUGAAAGUCGGGGGCUCAACCCUCGGAUGCCGGUGGAUACUGUCGGGCUUGAGUACGGAAGAGGCGAGUGGAAUUCCUGGUGUAGCGGUGAAAUGCGCAGAUAUCAGGAGGAACACCAAUGGCGAAGGCAGCUCACUGGGACGGUAUUGACGCUGAGACGCGAAAGCGUGGGGAGCAAACAGG
rnacentral:rRNA from 1 species